ACGGAGCAUCCUUGGGAGGACCAUUACGUACCGCUUAGGCUAGAGGGUAUGGGCUUCUCCCCACCCUGUCCGCCUCCGUCGCCGCCCCGCCCUCCAUUUCCCCCCACCCCGUCGUCGUCCCAAACGGCAACAACCAGACGUCCUCGACGACCCACUAGAAGACAAAACAAAGAUCCAAUCUCUUGUUACCUUUCCCAAUUCUUUUACAUCUUCAACUCACUUCCAUCAUCUUCAUCCCCAUUACAGUGCACCUCCGUCGAUCUCCAACCUCAUCUAUGUCCCACCUCCGUCGACCUCCAGUCCACCGCAAUCAUCGUUUCACCGGAGACCCCAAUUGUAGCCAUCACCACCGUUCGCAGCCACCACGACCGCUCGCAACAACCACCAUCGUCUGACAGGUCUGAUUAGUGGAGCAAUAUCGUAUCUGGUUCAACGUCAUUAGUUAUGAAACAGGUCAGAAACAUUGUCCCGAUUCGUCCCUAAAGCCUUGAACUCGAACCUGCGUUUCGUUGUGAGUUUUCGGUUUCGGCCCCUGAAGCCUUGAACUCAAACCUGCGUUUCGUUGAUCAGAUUCGUCCCUGCGUUUCGUUGAUGAACAACUCUCAGAGUGAAGCAGAACAGGCAACUGCCCAGGCUAAGGCCGAAGCUCUGGAAAAGACCAGUCAGCUGAUGGAGCAAGCCAGCAAUGCUGCACAGUCCGCCUAAGAGUCGAUGCAGCAUGCUGGCCAGCAGAUUAAGGAAAAGGCACAAGUAGCAACCAAGGCAGUGAAGAACGCAACAGGGAUGAACAAUUGAACCCCGUGGAUCAAGUUUGAUCAACCACCAUCGUUUCUUUUCUUUUGACCAGAAUGUUUUCAGUUCUUUAUAUUUACAAAAUUUUAUAUUAUUUUUAUAAUUUCGUUCUUUUGAGUCAUUGAUUUUGAACCAGAAGAUCUAGAUAUAACAGAGCCUGUUAUAUCAAGGUUUACAAAGCGUGCCCAGAUGCUAAAGUUUCUUUUGAGUCGUUGAUUUUGGCCUUUCGCAUUUUGUCAUUAAAGUUUCUUUUUUCAUCCAUGUGAUAACAAUAACCCGAAUGGUUUCACUCAGAAGUGAAUGGGUCAAAAGUGUGUCAUGUAUGGUUGAAAGUUGAUUCGAUGAAUGCUAUAAAUUCGCAGGGCAAUGAAAUGGGUGAAUUCUUUGUAUCAGUUAAAUUUAUAAGCCUUCUAUAGUGUUCUUGUUGAACCUUUGUGGCCAUUAA
rnacentral:lncRNA from 1 species